CGGGUAUAGUUCAUUGGUAGAACGUCAGCCUUCCAAGCUGAAUAGGCGAGUUCGAUUCUCGCUACCC
rnacentral:tRNA from 1 species